rnacentral:rRNA from 1 species
GACGAACGCUGGCGGCGUGCUUAACACAUGCAAGUCGAGCGGUAAGGCCCUUUCGGGGGUACACGAGCGGCGAACGGGUGAGUAACACGUGGGUGACCUGCCCUCAGCUCUGGGAUAAGCCUGGGAAACUGGGUCUAAUACCGGAUAUGACUCCAUGACGCAUGUUGUGGGGUGGAAAGCCUUGUGCGGCUGAGGAUGGGCCCGCGGCCUAUCAGCUUGUUGGUGGGGUGANGGGCCUACCAAGGCGACGACGGGUAGCCGGCCUGAGAGGGCGACCGGCCACACUGGGACUGAGACACGGCCCAGACUCCUACGGGAGGCAGCAGUGGGGAAUCUUGCGCAAUGGGCGAAAGCCUGACGCAGCGACGCCGCGUGAGGGAUGACGGCC